rnacentral:rRNA from 1 species
AAGUCGAACGAGACUCCGGGCUUCGGCCGGAUGACAGUGGCGCAAGGUGAGUAACACGUGAGUAAUCUGCCCCGAAGUCCGGGAUAGCCCAUGGAAACGUGGAUAAUACCGGAUGUGGCUGUAUGAACUGCGGUUUUAACAGUUAAAGAUUCAUUGCUUCGGGAUGAGCUCGCGGUCCAUCAGCUUGUUGGUGAGGUAAUGGCUCACCAAGGCGACGACGGAUAGCUGGUCUGAGAGGAUGACCAUCCCUGGGACUGAAGAACACUGCCCAGACUCCUACGGGAGGCUGCAGUCGAGAAUCUUCCGCAAUGGGCGCAAGCCUGACGGAGCAAUGCUGCGUGCCCGGAUGAAGGCCUUCGGGUCGUAAACGGCUGUCACUCGGGACGAAUUUGACGGUACCGAGAAGAAGGAAGCCACGGCUAACUACGUGCCAGCAGCCCCGGUAAUACGUAGGUGGCGAGCGUUAUUCGGAAUUAUUGGGGCCUAGAGGGGUUCGUAGGGGGUAAUGUAAGUCCGGUGUGAAAUCUCGAGGCUCAACCUCGAAACUGCAUUGGAAACUGCGUUACUUGAGUGUCAGAGAGGAAAGCGGAAUUCCUGGUGUAGCGGUGGAAUGCGUAGAUAUCAGGAAGAACACCGACGGCGAAGGCAGCUUUCUGGCUGACAACUGACCCUGAUGAACGAAAGCUAGGGUAGCGAACAGGAUUAGAUACCCUGGUAGUCCUAGCUGUAAACGUUGUGCACUGGAUGUGGGCGGAUUUGGUCCCGUCUGUGUCUGAGCGAAGGCGUUAAGUGCACCGCCUGGGGACUACGGCCGCAAGGCUAAAACUCAAAGGAAUUGACGGGGGCCCGCACAAGCGGUGGAGCAUGUGGCUCAAUUCGAGGCAACGCGAAGAACCUUACCUGGGUUUGACAUAUACCUGACCGCCGGUGAGAGCCGGUUUCUCUUUGAGCAGGUAUACAGGUGCUGCAUGGCUGUCGACAGCUCGUGCUGUGAAGUGUUCGGUUAAGUCCGGCAACGAGCGCAACCCACGCUGUUAGUUACCAUCAGGUGAAGCUGGGGACUCUAACAGGACUGCCCGUGCUAAGCGGGAGGAAGGCGUGGACGACGUCAAGUCCGCAUGGCCACUUACGCCCAGGGCUGCACACGU